GCCUUCGUGGUGUAACGGUAGCACACUUGGCGUGUAUCCGAGAGGUCCAGGUUCGAGUCCCUGCAAAGUCA
rnacentral:tRNA from 1 species